rnacentral:rRNA from 1 species
GUACGAGAGGACCGGGAUGGACGCACCUCUAGUGGACCUGUUGUCGCGCCAGCGGCAUAGCAGGGUAGCCAAGUGCGGCAGGGAUAACCGCUGAAAGCAUCUAAGCGGGAAACCCACCUCGAAACUAGUUCUCCCUUGAGAGCCGUGGAAGACCACCACGUUGAUAGGCUGGGUGUGGAAGCGCAGCAAUGCGUGAAGCUAACCAGUACUAAUCGCUCGAUUGGCUUGAUUGCUUUCAUU